rnacentral:rRNA from 1 species
AUGGCGGAAGCUGCCACAUUUCAGAUGCCUUGUGCCUUAAGACGGUUAUUUGCAACUAUACUGGUAUUCUGCGAGGCAACAGAAAUCCGACAGAUGUGGGACAAACAUCUGGCAGCAAUGUCCGAGGACUACGGUUGUAAUCAAUCCAAUGAGGCAAUACUUGAGCAUAUCAGGGAUAUGUUGCAAUCCAUGGGAAAGGAAAUUACAAACUAUGGACUUCCGGAAUUGGUUGAGACCGAUGGUUCUUAUGACGGUGAGUACAGAGAGGUAACAGAGGAGAGGCAAAUCAGCAUGGACAAAGAACAUCUAGAUUUAUUUACCAGUUUGAACACUGAGCAGCUGGCUGGUUUCAAUGACAUAAUGGAUCAUGUGGUGAACCAAAAAAGAUAG